rnacentral:rRNA from 1 species
GGCGCACGGGUGAGUAACGCGUGGAUAAUCUACCCACGAGAUCGGGAUACCAGCUGGAAACGGCUGACAAUACCGGGUAACAUACAAUUUUACUAUUGUGUCAAAGGCGGGGCAACCUGUCGCUUGUGGAUGAGUCCGCGUCUCAUUAGCUAGUUGGUAAGGUAAUGGCUUACCAAGGCAGUGAUGAGUAGCCGGCCUGAGAGGGUAAUCGGCCACACUGGGACUGGAACACGGCCCACACUCCUACGGGAGGCAGCMGUGGGGAAUAUUGCGCAAUGGACGAAAGUCUGACGCAGCGACGCCGCGUGAGGGAUGAAGGCCUUCGGGUUGUAAACCUCUGUCAGGAGGGAAGAACCGCCAUGGUAGUAACUGCCCAUGGUUCUGACGGUACCUCCAAAGGGACGGGGGCCCGCACAAGCGGUGGAGUAUGUGGUUUAAUUCGGAUGCAACGCGAAGAACNUUACCUAGGCUUGACAUCCAGGGGACCUUCCCCAAAAGGAAGGGGUGCUCUUCGGAGAACCCUGAGACAGGUGCUGCAUGGCUGUCGUCAGCUCGUGCCGUGAGGUGUUGGGUUAAGUCCCGGCAANGAGCGCAACCCCUAUUGUUAGUUGCCAGCCAGGUGAAGCUGGGCACUCUAACGAGACUGCUGUGGUCAACACAGAGGAAGGUGGGGACGACGUCAAGU